UUCGAAGCACCAGUGUGUCGAAAACUCGAUACGUGUGUCGACACGGGGUGUCGAGCAACCCAUCCCUAGUAUAGAGGUUUGGAACAUGCUGUUCAUUAAAGUGAGAUAUCAGGGCUCAAGAACAUUUAUCAAACUGCAGGAUGGAUUUACUUUCGCUGACUUCAUUAAUGAAGUCCACAGUUGGUUUGGCCUACCCGCCAGGACAGAUCUGUGCAUUUUUGAUGACACUGAAACUGAAAUUGACGAGGACAUUUUACAAGAUGUACUCAA